UCCGAAAUAGCUCAGUUGGUAGUAGCGCAUGACUGUUAAUCAUGAUGUCGUAGGUUCGAGUCCUACUUUCGGAG
rnacentral:tRNA from 1 species